CGCGUAGGUGGUAGUGUAAGUCUGGGGUGGAAUGCCGGGGCUUAACCCUGGAAUUGCCUUGGAAACUGCAUUACUUGAGUCAGUGAGGGGAGGGUAGAAUUCCUGGUGUAGCGGUGAAAUGCGUAGAUAUCAGGAGGAAGGCCUGUGGCGAAGGCGGCCCUCUGGUGCUGGACUGACACUGAGGCGCGAAAGCGUGGGGAGCAAACAGGAUUAGAUACCCUGGUAGUCCACGCCCUAAACGGUGGGCACUAGGUGUAGGGCUCGUAAGGGUUCUGUGCCGAAGGGAAACCAUUAAGUGCCCCGCCCGGGGAGUACGGCCGCAAGGUUGAA
rnacentral:rRNA from 1 species